CUUUUGCUAUACUGUAAAUCAUCUACAGUUUGGAUGCCUAAUUAAAUUAAAUUUGACAAGUGUCAUGUAGAAUAAUUUAUCAUAUCCAUAUAUACAUAUGUAUGUACUGUUAUUUAUGCAAUGCGUUCUUAUCUUUCCCACCAAUCCAGGCCGAGACAGUGAUAUCGAUUUCUGUCUGUUGGUUUAUAAUUUCUUUAACGUUAAUUUUUUCAAUUCUCUAUAUAGAAAAUUUGAAUGCCGGAUUUGAUGCAUGAUAUUUUGCAGUCGAGGACUUGAACUGCUGUCAUUGAUGUAUCUGAGUUAGAGUUAGGAUUGUGUUAACUUGUGUAGUAGGUUCAUACAAUACAAAUUUAAAUUUGUGGGUAGGCAUUGACCAUUUCAAUAAAAAUAAACUCGCUGAAGAAGGGCAAGAAACACUGCCUGGGUAAGAAAAUGUGCAUACAGUUGAAUCCAACCAAUUUAUCUAAUUAUAGAUAGAUUAUAAUAUUCAUUUUCACUUAUGAUCAAUUACGUUGUCUUCCCCAGACCUAAUACAACAUUGCAUUUACUCAAUUUAUGAUC
rnacentral:lncRNA from 1 species